GACUUUCUCACGACCAAUCACAGAAUUGGUACUUCUUCUCCCAAACGAGUGACUUAUGCAAGAGUACCAGACCGUACGGUACUAUGGCGGGGAGAACGCCGCUAUAACUGUUAACUAUGCCACUGUUGAAGUUCCACGGCUAUAAACUGCAGACUAUAGGACUUUAGCCAUCUGUUAUUGGACUUCAUGUUUUAUUGUUCAUUUCCUGCAUACCUUCUUUGUUUUGCAGGUAUCUCGUAUUUAUGGUCUACACACCAGUAUUAUUUCCAAUGUUUUCUUCACUUACAGGUUUGAGUUGGACUUUUG